rnacentral:rRNA from 1 species
GAUGAACGCUAGCGAUAGGCUUAACACAUGCAAGUCGAGGGGUAACGUGUUGGAAGCUUGCUUCUGAUGACGACGACCGGCGGAUGGGUGCGUAACGCGUAUGCAACUUGCCUUACAGUGGAGAAUAACCCGGAGAAAUCCGGACUAAUACUCCAUACACUCUUAAGUACGCCUGUACAUGAGAGGAAAGUUUUAUCGCUGUGAGAUCGGCAUGCGUCCUAUUGGGUAGUUGGUGAGGUAACGGCUCACCAAGCCGACGCUUGGUAGGGGUGCUGAGAGGCAGACCCCCACGAUGGGACAGAGACACGGCACAAACUCGUACGGGAGGCAGCAGUGAGGAAUAUUGGUCAAUGGAGGAAACUCUGAGCCAGCCAAGUCGCGUGAAGGAAGAAUGUCCUAAGGAUUGUAAACUUCUUUAGCGAGCAAGUAAGGACUUCCACGUGAUGGGAGUUUGAAGGUAGCUCGAGAAUAAGUAUCGGCUAACUCCGUG